rnacentral:hammerhead_ribozyme from 1 species
AUCGAGCUGACGAGUCCCGAAUAGGACGAAACGCGAGUCCUGGAU